rnacentral:rRNA from 1 species
UAGUGGCAGACGGGUGAGUAACGCGUGGGAAUGUACCUUUUGGUUCGGAAUAACUUCGGGAAACUGAAGCUAAUACCGGAUAAGCCCGUGAGGGGAAAGAUUUAUCGCCGAAAGAGCAGCCCGCGUUAGAUUAGGUAGUUGGUGGGGUAAAGGCCUACCAAGCCUACGAUCUAUAGCUGGUCUGAGAGGAUGAUCAGCCACACUGGGACUGAGACACGGCCCAGACUCC